GGCCCCUAGAUGAGGUAGAACAGAAAGGCCCAUACGUAGCGGCUGCAACGGCCCCCGGGGGUUCUAGGAUUAGGGUUUUCCGUGCCCCUCCCUCGUAACUCUUAGCUAUAUAUAACAAGAGAGGCAGCAGAACUAGAAGCAGCAGCGGGGCUAACGCUUUCUGCAUCUUCUUUUAGGGUUUCGCAUGCAUGCUGUUUGAUUGUGUUUGUUAAUAUGAAUGAAGUAAAGCCUGAUAUUGCAAUUCUUUGGUCUUAAUGAAUAGAUUAUUGGCCAAAGAAUCUAUCGUUAGGCAAUAGUGAUGUAUAUCUGUAUGUAUAUACAUGCAUGCAUUUUCUACCUUUAGCUCCGACUGUCCUUUUUUUCUCUUGAAGAAAUUGUUUUUAGGGUUUGUUGGUGACAAGGUAGAUACAUCUUAUUAUAUUUUGAUCUUGUUCUCCUCUUUUCUUCUUUGAUCUGUCUCAAAUUUUAAAAUUUGGUGUGAUGAUGAUGAUGGAUGAUUUAUUGAUUGAUGGAUGAUGAUAAAAAUCAGACGGAUUCCCACUGAUUUAUCCUAUGAUUACACAACCAGCUACUUCUGACACGAUCUCAUCUUCAUCAUCAUCAUCUUCAAGCACUUUUUUCUGUUUUUAAUUAUUAUGAUUAUUAUUAGCAUUUUUCUUUGGGGGCCGGUGAUGUAAUAAAAUAUUUGCUACUCUUGAUGGAGUUAUAUAUAACUCCAUUUGAUGAUUCCUAACCACCAAGAUCUCUGAGGCCCUGAUCUGUUUUUCUGUUAAUCUUAAAUACUGAAACUGGCUGAUUUUACUUGAUUUUGAUUUUUGAUUGUUCAUCCAAGGGUGGUUUUGGGCUAAUCUUGCCAAGGGCUGACGACGAAGAAGAGGGGGAAGAAGGUUGUAGGGAUGGAUAACCAGAGGAAAGGAAUCAAUGCUAGGUUCCUGAAUAUUGUCCUCGGCAGCCAGAUCAGUCGUACGAAUCCAUAAUUUAAGGUUCUAGCUCCCAAAAUAAAAGGCUCCCGCACAAUUUAGUUUGGCUUCCCUAGAAUUGGACUGGAAUGGUUUUAUUUUCAUCAUUUAGUGGAUGGAAAUUAGCAUCUUAAUCCUGGGGUUCAUGCAUACAGAUAUACGAAGUUAGCUUGUUACCAUGGAGCAGCUACACGACUGCCUUGCAACAAAACAAGGAGACUUGACAACCCAAAUGGAGCUCGAGCGUUCGAAAACUUGAUUCACCAAAAUGAAGUAAAAAGAACAGAAACAAAAACUACCAAGAACUUGACAAGAAAACAUGGACUGGAAAUCGAAAUAUAGAAACCAAAAACGAAAUGGGUAUUGCUAGAAACUUACCGAGGGUCGGCUUCAAAUGCGUUAUGGAGAGCUUCACUGAUUACAGAACAAAGACCCAUUGAUUUACCUGUGUGUUGUGACUGCUUUUGUUCUCAUCGUUGCUGUUGAAUAACGUUAAUGCCUUGACAAGUUGAGAAUUCAACGUUGCUUUGCAAACA